CCGAAAGGGCUCCCUGAGGGGCCAGCCCCGGCUGGGACCGCGGGGACGGGAGAGCCCCAGCACCGCUCUAGCAGAGGCAGCCACAUCAAGAGUUAAACAGAAAGUGAAACUGAAUGACCGGCUUCAGAAAAUUCUGGAAUACCUGGUGAUCCACCCCUCCCUAUAUCCGGCCGUUUCCUUUCCUUCCUCCGAGCACAGCCGACACAACAGAGGCUGGUGGCGAGGGGUGCCGCGGUCCCACGGGACUGGGAUUAGAGCAGACUCAUCGCAGCUCUUACUCCCAACCAGCCACCAUGGGUUUAAAAUGCUUAUGCAUUGGCCUAAUCGUGGGACUUAUCAUUGGAGCUGCAUUCAUAGCCGUGGCAAGUGGUGCACCAGUGGCCAUAGCUGCAGCAGGGGUUAGCAAGACCAAGGCUGCUGCCUUCAUUUUGACAGUCGGGGCAGUAUAAAUGGCCUGACUCUGCCCUUCGAGCAGAAACUGCAUGCUGGCACAGAAACAGCUCCCUAUGUUCAGUGCAAGGGAGCAAAAGCAAGAUUCCUUCCUUCCAAGCACACGGAUUGAAAUGGCCGGCGCUGGAAAGUCCAAUCCCUCCCACAGCUUCUGCUUUAAAUGAUUUGGCAUUAAGCAAUAAAUAAGCAAUAAAUGAACAGUGA